AGCUCCGAGGUGUAUCGCAUGCCGGAUUGCAAAUCCGGAGGAGCAGACUAACGUCUGCCGGGGCUU
rnacentral:tRNA from 1 species